rnacentral:rRNA from 1 species
AGAGUUUGAUCAUGGCUCAGAACGAACGCUGGCGGCGUGGAUUAGGCAUGCAAGUCGAACGCGAAAGAGGGGGCAACUCCUCGAGUAGAGUGGCGAACGGGUGAGUAACGCGUGAAGAACCUGCCUUCAAGAGGGGGAUAACACUCCCAACGGGGUGCUAAUACCGCAUGAGACCACGGGGUCGCAUGGCCCUGAGGUCAAAGGUGGCCUCUAUUUAUAAGCUACCGCUUGAAGAUGGCUUCGCGUCCCAUUAGCUAGUUGGCGGUGUAACGGACCACCAAGGCGACGAUGGGUAGCUGGUCUGAGAGGAUGGUCAGCCACACUGGGACUGAGAUACGGCCCAGACUCCUACGGGAGGCAGCAGUCGAGAGGCUUUGGCAAUGGGGGAAACCCUGACCAAGCGACGCCGCGUGGAGGAUGAAGGCCCUUGGGUUGUAAACUCCUUUUGUCGAGGAAGAAGUGCGAUCAGGUGAACAAUCUGGUCGUUUGACGGUACCCGACGAAUAAGCUCCGGCUAACUCCGUGCCAGCAGCCGCGGUAACACGGGGGGAGCAAGCGUUGUUCGGAAUCACUGGGCGUAAAGGGCGUGUAGGCGGAUAGGUAGGUGGGACGUGAAAUCCCUCGGCUCACCCGAGGACCUGCGUCCCAAACUGCCUGUCUUGAGUACGGGAGAGGAUGAGGGAAUUCCUGGUGUAGCGGUGAAAUGCGUAGAUAUCAGGAGGAACACCGGCGGCGAAGGCGCUCAUCUGGCCCGAUACUGACGCUGAUGCGCGAAAGCUGGGGGAGCAAACGGGAUUAGAUACCCCGGUAGU